GGAUAAAACAUGCAUCCUCAUGAAUACUAGUCAGAUUUGUAACCCGCUGAGCCACACUGGGAACUCCCAUCCCAGACUUACUUUCGUUUUCACCUUGGCUGGUAUAAUAAUUUCUUUCUUAUUCUCCCAGGGCAAGCAUCCAUUGGCUCAACAAGUGUUUCUUAGCUGGAGGCUGUGCUUGGAGCUGGGGACGCCACAAAGUAGACUGGCUGCUGCUGACUGGAGCUGAUGGUUAACAAAGGCAAGCCAUUGUUAAAACCCAGUCAUGCUGAGGGUGAAGGUGUGGGGAGUUCAACAGUCUCAGAAAUGCCCAGAAGGACAAAGAAGGUAUAACAUUCCUCAGAUGAUGAGAAAAUGUGGGACAAAUCCAAGGGAAGGACAUUCUACCAGACACCUGACUAGUGCCCUUCAAAAUGUCAAGGUCAUGAGAGAUGCGGAGGAAAGACCGAAGGAGUGCUGGGGACAAGGGGAGACCAAGGUUAUAGACUUUAUUUGGAGAGACACACACUGAAAUAUUUGGAGAAAUCAUCUGAUUUGGAGGAGCUACUGCCACGGAAAACAUUACAGAAGGGCAGGGGGGCCAUGAUCAGGCAGGGAUGCUCAGUUCCUGUACUGACCGAGGGUCACCAGCGAACUCUGCUUUUCAGUAUAUGUCCAAUAUUCUACAUAAUGAAAAGAAUUUUUUUUUCUUUUUAGGGCUGCACCCACAGCCUAUGGAGGUUCCCAGGCUAGGGGUCGAAUUGGAGCUACAGCUGCUGGCCUACACCACAGUCACAGCCAUUCGGGAAUCCCACCCGUGUCUUCAACCCUACACCACAGCUCACAGCAA